CCCUUUGAUACUCUGGGCGGUACGCGCGCUACACUGGUUUAUAUAACGUGUAAUUUGGACGAUAGUCUGUAUAAAUCACUAAUAUAAAACCGUGAAUGGGAUAGUUUAUUGCAACUUACAAACUUUAACUAGGAAUCCCUUGUAGAAGUAGUGAAUUAUACUGCUUCGAAUACGUCCCUGCCGAUUGUACACACCGCCCGUCGUUUCUUCCGACUGGUACUCAUUGUGAAUUGCGAGGAGAUUCUGUCAAAUCGUUGUAAAUGCUGGGUAUUGGAGGAAGUAAAAGUCGUAACA
rnacentral:rRNA from 1 species